CAUGGACAGGUGUGCCUAGGUGUGGCUCAGGUGUGUCACAGGUGUGUCACAGGUGUGCUCAGGUGUGUCACAGGUAUGUCACAGGUGUGCCCAGGUGUGGCUCAGGUGUGCUCAGGUGUGCUCAGGUGUGUCAUAGGUGUGCUCAGGUGUGGCUCAGGUGUGCUCAGGUGUGUCACAGGUGUGUCACAGGUGUGCUCAGGUGUGGCACAGGUGUGGCUCAGGUGUGGCACAGGUGUGUCACAGGUGUGCCCAGGUGUGGCUCAGGUGUGCUCAGAUGUGGCUCAGGUGUGGCUCAGGUGUGUCACAGGUGUGCUCAGGUGUGCCCAGGUGUGGCUCAGGUGUGCUCAGGUGUGCUCAGGUGUGUCACAGGUGUGUCACAGGUGUGCCCAGGUGUGGCUCAGGUGUGCCCAGGUGCGCUGUGUGCAGAUAGAGACAGCUGUGCUCACCUGUGGAGGGAGGAGCUGCGACCUGGGGUUACCUGGGGGUUACCUGGGGUUACCUGAGGAUACCUGGGGUUACCUGAGGAUACCUGGGGUCACCUGGGGUUACCUGGGGAACACCUGGGGGUACCUGAGAAUACCUGGGGUCACCUGGGGGUUACCUGGGGAACACCUGGGGGUUACCUGGGGGUAUCAGGGGUUACCUGGGGAACACCUGGGGGUACCUGAGGAUACCUGGGGAACACCUGGGAAACACCUGGGGGUUACCUGGGGGUUACCUGGGGUUACCUGGGGUCACCUGGGGAACACCUGGGGUUACCUGGGGAACACCAGGGGGUAGCUGGGGGUUACCUGGGGGUACCUGGGGUUACCUGGAGGUUACCUGGGGGUGCCGGGUUACCUGUCCUGACGAGCUCAGGUGUUGCAGACUCUCUGGAGCCGGAGCCGCCUC
rnacentral:lncRNA from 1 species